rnacentral:lncRNA from 1 species
AUAUGGCAUAUUUGGGCCGUCUCUUGAUGAUCUUCCUCUUUCGAACUUGACUCCUCACUUUCACUCCAUUCAGCCAUGAAGUUCUUCUUUUUAAGUUUUCUUGCCAUCCACUUUAAUUUCGGGCAAUCUAUCUUAUAAUGCCCGGGUUUGUUACACUCAUAACAAAUAGGUGUUUCUUUUUUCUUUUCUUUGUCCUUACCCUUUGAAGAAGGGUUUCUUUUUAUGAAAUCUAUUCUUACCUCUCAUAAAUUUUCUGAAUUUUCUUCCAAGCAUAGCCAUUCCUUCUUCAUCAAAUUCAUCAUCAUCAUCAGAAUCUUCCGACUCAGUUUGUUGUUUUGGAGUGGUAGACUUUAGGGCAAUGGUCUUUCUUCUCUUGACCUCAUCUUCUGAAUUUUGCCUCAUGGUCAACUCAUGGGUCAUGAGUGAUCCUAGAAGUUCCUCUAAUUGCAGUGUAUUGAGGUCCUUUGCUUCCUGAAUUGCAGUUACCUUGGCCUCCCAAACUCUUGGUAGAGACCUGAGAAUUUUUCGCACCAAUUCAAAGUU